GCCCAGACUCCUACGGGAGGCAGCAGUGGGGAAUAUUGGGCAAUGGACGCAAGUCUGACCCAGCAACGCCGCGUGAAGGAAGAAGGCUUUCGGGUUGUAAACUUCUUUUAAGGGGGAAGAGCAGAAGACGGUACCCCUUGAAUAAGCCACGGCUAACUACGUGCCAGCAGCCGCGGUAAUACGUAGGUGGCAAGCGUUGUCCGGAUUUACUGGGCGUAAAGGGAGCGUAGACGGCAAUGCAAGCCAGAUGUGAAAGCCCGGGGCUCAACCCCGGGACUGCAUUUGGAACUGUGUAGCUGGAGUGUCGGAGAGGCAGGCGGAAUUCCUAGUGUAGCGGUGAAAUGCGUAGAUAUCAGGAGGAACACCGGCGGCGAAGGCGGCCUGCUGGACCGUAACUGACGUUGAGGCUCGAAAGCGUGGGGAGCAAACAGGAUUAGAUACCCCAGUA
rnacentral:rRNA from 1 species